GACGAACGCUGGCGGCGUGCCUAAUACAUGCAAGUCGAGCGGUAAGGGCUUGUUUUUGUGCCAACUGGGUGAGCAGCGAGCGGGUGAGUAACGCGUGGGGAAUCUUCCUUUGAGCGGUGGACCACAUAUGGAAACGAAUGCUCCUACCGCAUAACAACUUUAAACACAAGGUUUAAGUGUGAAAGAUGCAUUUGCAUCACUCACAGCUGAUCCCGCGUUGUAUUAGCUAGUUGGUGAGGUAAAGGCGCACCAAGGCGAUGAUAGAUAGCCGAACGGAGAGGGGGGUCGGCCGCCUUGGGGGGGAGACACGGCCCAAAGGCCUACGGGAGGGAGCAGUAGGGAAUCUGCGGCAAUGGAGGAGAGUCUGACAGAGCAAGGCCGCGCGAGAGAAGAAGGUUCUCGGUGCGGAAAACUCGGUUUGUAGAGAAGAACGUUGGUGAGAGUGGAAAGCGCAUCAAGUGACGGUAACUACCCAGAAAGGGACGGCUAACUACGUG
rnacentral:rRNA from 1 species